AUUAGAAUACAUGACCUGCUGGAUAUGGGAAAAGGCUUAUUGAAAAGCCUCUUGGAAUUGCCCCAGGGGACGAGGCUGGUUGUAACCAUGACUAUUGGGGAGAGGUGCUGUUGGGGGAUAAUCUGACGUCUAGUUCCAGCUCUUCCAUAACUUGCAACUCAGCCUCUGCACAUUGGUCAGCAUUCCAACCUUCCAUGGGCACCCCUUUCCUGGUGGUGAAAUGGGGGUAAAAUUAUGCCUAACUUGCUUCUACCCUCUCAGCUUCUGUGAGGGGUCAAAUAAGACGUUAGUCAAAGUGGGGUGUAAAUUAUAGAGACUGAGACUGGUGCUUCAAAAGAGGUACCAAGGAAGGUAAUGAUCACAGGAAUCUCAAUGAAUUUGAGCAGGAUUCUUCAUAAUUGUAUUAUAUAUGCCCUUAAUCGGAAGUGCUGACAACUUCCUGAAGACAGAAGAGGCCACAUGAGGGACAAAUAGCCUAGAGACCUGAUUGAUAAGCUGCAGACCAUCUCCGGCUUUGCUGAAUGACUUUGGGCAGCCUCUUUGCCUUCCCGGGCUUCCAUUUCUCUCUCCACAAAAUGGGAAGCAUAAUACCUGCCUCUCUGGCUUAUCAAGGUGAAGAAAGAUGUUCCUGUCUUCUCAUCCGAGUCCAGGCCCGCAGCUGGCUGUAGUAAUCUGAAGGGAACUAACUGGGGAGCUACCUUCUUCCAAGGUCAUGUGGCUGCUAGCAAGAUUUACUCUCAAGGAUUGUUGGACUGAUGUCUUCCCAGCUGUUGGCCAGAGGCCACCCUCAGUUCCUCAGUUCCACGCGUCAAUGUCUCCUGCGUGGGAGUUUGCUUCAUCAAAGCGUGCAAGCCGGGCAUGAAAGCAAGAGCAGGGUGGAAGUCACGAUCUUUUGUAGCCUGAUCGUGGAAGUGAUUAUUGCCGUAUUCUAUUUGUUAGAAGUGAGUCACUGGGCCCAGCCCAUCCUGCACAAAAGGAGAGUACACAGGGGCUUGAAUACCAGGAAGAGGGGAUCACAGGGGGCCAUUCUAGAACCUUUCUGCCUGCCACACCAGUCGCCAACUUUUAAUUUUGCCAGAGAAGAACACUUAGAAAAUCAACUCCCACCUCUGGUUACCAUAACUUCAUAAAUGAAAUAGACCUUUUUACAAUUUGUCUAGAUACAAAGAGAUAAUUUCAUAAUAAGGGGUAGUCCCUUGUGGGUGAAUAAAUGUAGCCUCGUGCAAAAUGCCCUCAUGGUCCUCAGUUUUCUCCCUCUGCAGAGCUCUGGUGUCUGGCUUAGCACCAGGAACCUCCUCUCCUGCCUGAAGCAGGAUAACACAGCAGCUGGUAGGUGGAGUUAAGAGAGGAGGGGGUGGGUUGGCCUGAGCAUGGCUGGGGCCCACACAGUGCCUAGCACUGCCCCCCCCCCCAAGCUGGCUGGCUGAAUGAAUGAAUACAUCAGUGAGAAACUUCAUGGGGACGUGUCACUUUUACCCCCAACUCUCAGACAAGGAAACCCAGCCUUGUAAGGCUAAGUAACAGCUGGGCCUAAGCCUUCAGGGCUAGAAAGGACAUUAUAUUUGCAGGGUGCUCUAUUCUCCACAAAUCCCUUCUGCACCCAUUAGCUAAGCUGAUAGUCUCAAUGCCCCUGGUUGUGGGAAGAAGCUUGCCAUUUCCCAUGUUAGCACUGAGCAAACAGGUUCAGAGAGGUUAAGCACCUUGCAUGGACCCAGAGAGGGCUGAGGGAGGUUU